rnacentral:rRNA from 1 species
UACGUAGGGAGCAAGCGUUAUCCGGAUUUAUUGGGCGUAAAGGGUGCGUAGGCGGUUUGUUAAGUAUGAGAUUAAAGCCUGGGGCUUAACCUCAGUUCGUUUCAUAAACUGGCAGACUUGAGUAUGGCAGAGGUAAACGGAAUUUCUAGUGUAGCGGUUAAAUGCGUAGAUAUUAGAAGGAACACCAGUGGCGAAGGCGGUUUACUGGGCCAUAACUGACGCUGAGGCACGAAAGCGUGGGGAGCAAAUAGGAUUAGAUACCCUAGUAGUCCACGCCGUAAACGAUGAGUACUAAGUGUUGGGGCAACCCAGUGCUGAAGUUAACACAUUAAGUACUCCGCCUGAGUAGUACGGUCGCAAGGCUGAA